rnacentral:rRNA from 1 species
ACGGGUGAGUAACACGUGGAUGAUCUACCCCUUAGUGAGGAAUAACCAUGGGAAACCGUGGCUAAUACCGCAUAAGCUCGAGAGAGGAAAGCAGCAAUGCGCUGAGGGAGGAGUCCGCGGCCGAUUAGCUAGUUGGCAGGGUAAAAGCCUACCAAGGCAGAGAUCGGUAGCCGGCCUGAGAGGGCACACGGCCACACUGGAACUGAGACACGGUCCAGACUCUUACGGGAGGCAGCAGUGGGGAAUCUUGCGCAAUGGGCGAAAGCCUGACGCAGCAACGCCGCGUGAGGGAUGAAGCUUCUCGGAGUGUAAACCCCUUUCGACCCGGAUGAAACCCCGCAAGGGAUUGACAGUACGGGUAUAAGAAGCCCCGGCUAACUACGUGCCAGCAGCCGCGGUAAAACGUAGGGGGCCAGCGUUGCUCGGAAUUACUGGGCGUAAAGGGUCUGUAGGCGGUGUGGCAAGUCGGUAGUGAAAUCUCAGGGCUUAACCCUGAGGCUGCUGCCGAAACUGCCGGGCUUGAGUGUGGGAGAGGUGAGUGGAAUUUCCGGUGUAGCGGUGAAAUGCGUAGAUAUCGGAAGGAACACCUGUGGCGAAAGCGGCUCACUGGACCACAACUGACGCUGAUGCACGAAAGCUAGGGGAGCAAACAGGAUUAGAUACCCUGGUAGUCCUAGCCCUAAACCAUGAUUGCUUGGUGUGACGGGUACCCAAUCCCGCCGUGCCGUAGCUAACGCGUUAAGCAAUCCGCCUGGGGAGUACGGUCGCAAGGCUGAAACUCAAAUGAAUUGACGG